rnacentral:rRNA from 1 species
AUACGUAGGUGACAAGCGUUAUCCGGAUUUACUGGGCGUAAAGGGCGUGUAGGCGGUCUUGCAAGUCAGAAGUGAAAUUCCUGAGCUCAACUCGGGCGCUGCUUCUGAAACUGCAGGACUUGAGUGCUGGAGGGGAUAGCGGAAUUCCUAGUGGAGCGGUAAAAUGCGCAGAUAUUAGGAAGAACACCGGUGGCGAAGGCGGCUUGCUGGACAGAAACGGACUCUGAGGCGCGAAGGCGUGGGGAGCAAACAGGAUGAGAUCCCCGGGUAGUCCACGCCGUACACGAUGAAUACUAGGUGUAGUGGGUAUCGACUCCCUCUGUGCCGCAGGUAACACAAUAAGUAUUCCGCCUGGGGAGUACGGCCGCAAGGUUGAAACUCAAAUGAAUUGACGGGG